rnacentral:misc_RNA from 1 species
GACGAACCGUGCAAACGUUAUUCGGAAUCACUGGGCUUAAAGGGUGCGUAGGCGGCCCUGAAGGUUGGAUGUGAAAGCCCACGGCUCAACCGUGGAAUUGCGUCCAAAACCACAGGGCUCGAGGGAGACAGGGGUGAGUGGAACUUCGGGUGGAGCGGUGAUAUGCGUUGAUAUCCGAAGGAACACCGGUGGCGAAGGCGACUCACUGGGUCUCUACUGACGCUGAGGCACGAAAGCUAGGGUAGCGAACGGG